AACAAACCAAUGAGCAAGAGUAGUAGGUAAAAAUAUUUAUUUCCAGAGAGCUGCUGGUGGUGGGAUAGCAGCAAUAACAGUUUUUAUUGAAUGGACUUGCGAGGGCGGCUUGAAAUCUUCCUGGAAGAGAGUAGACACCGACGGGAGCCUUAUCCGUUAUCAACAGGGCAUGUAUGUCAGUGCAUGAUAGAGUGGCCGAUUAGUGAUCGGCAAUUUGGGUGGUACCGCAGAGUUUGCCUCUGUCCCUUCG
rnacentral:ncRNA from 1 species